rnacentral:rRNA from 1 species
UACGGAGGGUGCAAGCGUUGUCCGGAUUCAUUGGGUUUAAAGGGUGUGUAGGUGGCGCCGUAAGUCGGGUGUGAAAUCUCGGGGCUUAACUCCGAAACUGCAUUCGAUACUGCGGUGCUUGAGGACUGGAGAGGAGACUGGAAUUCAUGGUGUAGCAGUGAAAUGCGUAGAGAUCAUGAGGAAGACCAGUGGCGAAGGCGGGUCUCUGGACAGUUCCUGACACUGAGACACGAAGGCCAGGGGAGCAAACGGG